UACGGAGGGUGCGAGCGUUGUCCGGAAUCACUGGGCGUAAAGGGCGCGUAGGUGGCCCGGUCAGCGUGCGGUGAAAGCUCGGGGCUCAACCCCGAGUCGGCCGUGCGAACUGCUGGGCUCGAGCACUGUAAAGGCAGGCGGAAUUCCGGGUGUAGCGGUGGAAUGCGUAGAGAUCCGGAAGAACACCGGUGGCGAAGGCGGCCUGCUGGGCAGUAGCUGACACUGAGGCGCGACAGCGUGGGGAGCAAACAGG
rnacentral:rRNA from 1 species